AUACGGAGGGUCCGAGCGUUAAUCGGAAUUACUGGGCGUAAAGCGCGCGUAGGUGGUUCAGUCAGUCAGAUGUGAAAGCCCCGGGCUCAACCUGGGAACUGCACCUGAUACUGCUGAGCUAGAGUACGGUAGAGGGCAGUGGAAUUUCCGGUGUAGCGGUGAAAUGCGUAGAGAUCGGAAGGAACACCAGUGGCGAAGGCGCCUGCCUGGACUGAUCCCGCCACUGAGGUGCGAAAGCGGGGGUAGCAAACAGGAUUAGAUACCCGGGUAGUCCACGCCGUAAACGAUGUCAACUAGCCGUUGGGGGACUUGAUCCUUUAGUGGCGAAGCUAACGCGAUAAGUUGACCGCCUGGGGAGUACGGCCGCAAGGUUAAAACUCAAAUGAAUUGACGGGG
rnacentral:rRNA from 1 species